rnacentral:rRNA from 1 species
UACGUAGGGGGCAAGCGUUGUCCGGAAUCAUUGGGCGUAAAGCGCGUGUAGGCGGCCCGGUAAGUCCGCUGUGAAAGUCCAGGGCUCAACCCUGGGAUGCCGGUGGAUACUGUCGGGCUCGAGUCCGGAAGAGGCGAGUGGAAUUCCUGGUGUAGCGGUGAAAUGCGCAGAUAUCAGGAGGAACACCGGUGGCGAAGGCGGGUCUCUGGGCCGUAACUGACGCUGAGGAGCGAAAGCAUGGGGAGCGAACAGG